rnacentral:rRNA from 1 species
UAGAGAUAGCUGGUUAUUCAGGAAAAGGAUACAGUCCAACUUUAAAUCUACCCAUAACACCUAAUACCACCACAGAUUUAAAUUUUAUUCAAAUAGGGCACAGCCUAUUUGAAACAGGAUACAGCCUAUAAUAUAGGGUAAUGCUCCCAAUAACAUGACUAAGUAGGCCUAGAAGCAGCCACCUUUUAGAAGACGUCACAGCCCCACCAUAACCCAACAACAAUCCCAAUCAAAACCCAAAACCCAUCACCCCUACUGAAUGACUCCAUAUAAAUAUGGAAAACCUUAUGUUAGAACUAGUAACAAGAACAGCCACUCUCCCACAAAGCAAGUGUAACCCGGACUGAACCCGUCACCGGCACCUACCGCCAAUGAAAUUAUAAUAAUAACCCCCACAAGAAAACCUUAUCUACCCAAAGCGUUAACCUUACACUAGAGCUUCCCCGGAAAGAUUAAAAGAGAGGGAAGGAACUCGGCAAACAUCAACCCCGCCUGUUUACCAA